rnacentral:tRNA from 1 species
AUGAGAUUAAGUUAGUUAGACUACAUGUUUUCAAAACAUGAAGAGGUUCUUGACCAUCUCAUG